rnacentral:rRNA from 1 species
UACGGGGGGGGCAAGCGUUGUUCGGAAUCACUGGGCGUAAAGCGCACGUAGGCGGCUUUCUAAGUCAGGGGUGAAAUCCUGGAGCUCAACUCCAGAACUGCCUUCGAUACUGGCGAUCUCGAGUUCGGGAGAGGUGAGUGGAACUGCGAGUGUAGAGGUGAAAUUCGUAGAUAUUCGCAAGAACACCAGUGGCGAAGGCGGCUCACUGGCCCGAUACUGACGCUGAGGUGCGAAAGCGUGGGGAGCAAACAGGG